UCGCCAGCAGCAAUAAAAGGAUUGUUGGUAGUACCUGCUCAGUGCUCUAUUGGAGUAAAUAGCCGCUGUAUUCUGACGGUGCUAAGGUAGCGAAAUUCCUAGCCUCUUAAUUAGAGGCCUGCAUGAAUGGUUUGACGAGCGCCCUGCUGUCUCUUUUUCAUGGUAAUUGAAAUUAGUUUUUGUGUGCAAAAUCACGAAUGAAUGAGUAAGACGAAAAGACCCUGUGCAACUUUACUGGAUUAAGGGGGUAAAACGUCCCUUUAUGCAGUUUAGCUGGGGCAGCUUAGGAAAAAAUAAAAUUUCCUUAAUUAAGGUUUAACUGAUAGGUUUUGAUCCAAUUGUAAGAUUGAUCAGUAGAAAAGUUACGCCAGGGAUAACAGCGUUAUCCUCCUGUGGAGGUCUUAUCUUCAGGAGGGAUUGCGACCUCGAUGUUGAAUUAGGGAUAUAGCGGAAAGGCGCAGUA
rnacentral:rRNA from 1 species